AUACGAAAGGGGCAAGCGUUGUUCGGAAUUACUGGGCGUAAAGCGCACGUAGGCGGCAUUGUAAGUUGGGGGUGAAAUCCCGGAGCUCAACUCCGGAACUGCCUCCAAAACUACAAAGCUAGAGGAUGUGAGAGGAUAGUGGAAUUCCGAGUGUAGAGGUGAAAUUCGUAGAUAUUCGGAAGAACACCAGUGGCGAAGGCGACUGUCUGGCACAUUUCUGACGCUGAGGUGCGAAAGCGUGGGGAGCAAACAGGAUUAGAAACCCCAGUAGUCC
rnacentral:rRNA from 1 species